ACCACUGCAGCAAAUUAAGACCAGUAUCAAUUCUGAGAUCUCUUUAACCAGUACAGAACCUCAACAGACAAUAGACAAGGAUGUGUGAUGACAUUUGUGAAUGCUUGUGUAGUUUCAUGGCUGAACUGUGUUGCGGAGAUUGCUGUGACUGUUGCGAAGAUUCUUCUGGCUAUGACAACGAAGAUAAGAGGAAAAGGAGGAAAGAACAAGAUAACGUAGUGUCUAAACAACCCACAAAUAAUGGCCUUCCCGGAACAGCAUUAAUAUGACAUCUUUACAUUGCAUUCUUUAUCUGUACUCUGUAGCUUAAAUUGAUGUGAAUAGUAAUAAAAUCUAUUUAUCAUAUAAA